rnacentral:rRNA from 1 species
AGCAGUCGCCGCGGUAAUACAGAGGGUGCAAGCGUUAAUCGGAAUUACUGGGCGUAAAGCGCGCGUAGGUGGUUUGUUAAGUUGGAUGUGAAAUCCCCGGGCUCAACCUGGGAACUGCAUUCAAAACUGACUGACUAGAGUAUGGUAGAGGGUGGUGGAAUUUCCUGUGUAGCGGUGAAAUGCGUAGAUAUAGGAAGGAACACCAGUGGCGAAGGCGACCACCUGGACUAAUACUGACACUGAGGUGCGAAAGCGUGGGGAGCAAACAGGAUUAGAUACCCCCGUAGUCCCUGUCUCUUAUAC